rnacentral:rRNA from 1 species
AAUGAACGUUGGCGGCGUGGAUUAGGCAUGCAAGUCGCGCGAUAAGCGUAGCAAUACGUAGAAAGCGGCGUAAGGGAGAGUAAUACAUGGUUAGCUACCCUCGGGACUGGGAUAGCGGCGGGAAACUGCCGGUAAUACCAGAUGACAUCUUCGGAUCAAACGUGUGAAUCGGCCCGAGGAGGCGACCAUGUCCUAUCAGCUAGUUGGCGGUGUAACGGACCACCAAGGCUAAGACGGGUAUGGGGCGUGAGAGCGUGCCCCCACUCACUGGGACUGAGAUACUGCCCAGACACCUACGGGGCAG